UGGGGAAUAUUGCACAAUGGGCGAAAGCCUGAUGCAGCAACGCCGCGUGAGUGAUGAAGGCCUUCGGGUUGUAAAGCUCUGUCUUUUGGGACGAUAAUGACGGUACCAAAGGAGGAAGCCACGGCUAACUACGUGCCAGCAGCCGCGGUAAUACGUAGGUGGCGAGCGUUGUCCGGAUUUACUGGGCGUAAAGGAUGCGUAGGCGGAUUUUUAAGUGAGAUGUGAAAUACCCGGGCUUAACUUGGGUGCUGCAUUUCAAACUGGGAAUCUAGAGUGCGGGAGAGGAGAAUGGAAUUCCUAGUGUAGCGGUGAAAUGCGUAGAGAUUAGGAAGAACACCAGUGGCGAAGGCGAUUCUCUGGACCGUAACUGACGCUGAGGCAUGAAAGCGUGGGUAGCAAACAGGAUUAGAUACCCUGGUAGUCCACGCCGUAAACGAUGAGUACUAGGUGUAGGAGGUAUCGACCCCUUCUGUGCCGCAGUUAACACAAUCAAGUACUCCGCCUGGGAAGUACGAUCGCAAGAUUAAAA
rnacentral:rRNA from 1 species